rnacentral:rRNA from 1 species
CGAGCGGUAGAGAGAAGCUUGCUUCUCUUGAGAGCGGCGGACGGGUGAGUAAUGCCUAGGAAUCUGCCUGGUAGUGGGGGAUAACGUUCGGAAACGGACGCUAAUACCGCAUACGUCCUACGGGAGAAAGCAGGGGACCUUCGGGCCUUGCGCUAUCAGAUGAGCCUAGGUCGGAUUAGCUAGUUGGUGGGGUAAUGGCUCACCAAGGCGACGAUCCGUAACUGGUCUGAGAGGAUGAUCAGUCACACUGGAACUGAGACACGGUCCAGACUCCUACGGGAGGCAGCAGUGGGGAAUAUUGGACAAUGGGCGAAAGCCUGAUCCAGCCAUGCCGCGUGUGUGAAGAAGGUCUUCGGAUUGUAAAGCACUUUAAGUUGGGAGGAAGGGCAGUUGCCUAAUACGUAACUGUUUUGACGUUACCGACAGAAUAAGCACCGGCUAACUCUGUGCCAGCAGCCGCGGUAAUACAGAGGGUGCAAGCGUUAAUCGGAAUUACUGGGCGUAAAGCGCGCGUAGGUGGUUUGUUAAGUUGGAUGUGAAAUCCCCGGGCUCAACCUGGGAACUGCAUUCAAAACUGACUGACUAGAGUAUGGUAGAGGGUGGUGGAAUUUCCUGUGUAGCGGUGAAAUGCGUAGAUAUAGGAAGGAACACCAGUGGCGAAGGCGACCACCUGGACUAAUACUGACACUGAGGUGCGAAAGCGUGGGGAGCAAACAGGAUUAGAUACCCUGG